AGUGAACGCUGGCGGUAGGCCUAACACAUGCAAGUCGAACGGCAGCACAGUAAGAGCUUGCUCUUACGGGUGGCGAGUGGCGGACGGGUGAGGAAUACAUCGGAAUCUACUUUUUCGUGGGGGAUAACGUAGGGAAACUUACGCUAAUACCGCAUACGACCUACGGGUGAAAGCAGGGGAUCUUCGGACCUUGCGCGAUUGAAUGAGCCGAUGUCGGAGUAGCUAGUUGGCGGGGUAAAGGCCCACCAAGGCGACGAUCCGUAGCUGGUCUGAGAGGAUGAUCAGCCACACUGGAACUGAGACACGGUCCAGACUCCUACGGGAGGCAGCAGUGGGGAAUAUUGGACAAUGGGCGCAAGCCUGAUCCAGCCAUACCGCGUGGGUGAAGAAGGCCUUCGGGUUGUAAAGCCCUUUUGUUGGGAAAGAAAAGCAGCAGGUUAAUACCCCGCUGUUCCGACGGUACCCAAAGAAUAAGCACCGGCUAACUUCGUG
rnacentral:rRNA from 1 species